UACGGAGGGUGCAAGCGUUAUCCGGAUUCACUGGGUUUAAAGGGUGCGUAGGUGGGUUGGUAAGUCAGUGGUGAAAUCUCCGAGCUUAACUUGGAAACUGCCAUUGAUACUAUCAGUCUUGAAUAUUGUGGAGGUUAGCGGAAUAUGUCAUGUAGCGGUGAAAUGCUUAGAUAUGACAUAGAACACCAAUUGCGAAGGCAGCUGGCUACACAAUUAUUGACACUGAGGCUCGAAAGCGUGGGGAUCAAACAGG
rnacentral:rRNA from 1 species